GCGGGAAUAACUCAGUGGUAGAGUGCAACCUUGCCAAGGUUGAAGUCGCGGGUUCGAACCCCGUUUCCCGCU
rfam:Geobacter uraniireducens Rf4, complete genome.